UGUUCCCCGGCUGGCUGGGCACACUGGGCAAGCCUUCGCCAGCCUGGCCGUAAACUGGGAGCGCUAAGGGAGGAGAGCAGCAAACUAGGGAGAGGGAAGAGAUGCACGGGGCCUGGAGGGCAGGAGCAAAGAUAAGAGGUGCUUACACGAAAAUCCUGCAGGGAAAUGCAGCUGGUACCUGGAGGGACACAGCUGGGGUCAAGCUGUGAGCUGAUGGUGGUGGCAGAAGCAGGUGGGAGCUAAGUCUACAAAGCUGGGGGCAGCCUGGGGGUUGGGUAUGAUUCUGGCUUUGCGCCAUGUUUGGACUCAGGGUCUUCUCCAGUGGCCUCCUACUCUGUCUGCGAACCUCUAGUCCAGGGGGAUGAUUCAGUAGCCCCGUGGAUGGGCUGGAGGUGGUGUUGUGGUGCUGAGAAACGCGCUUUAGGCACAGUGUCCUGCAAACCUCAGAUCUGCAGUUGCAUCUGGACUUGACACUGCAAUAUCCUCCUGCUGACAACGAGAUGGGACAAAGGCGAUUAACUGUCUGCUGGAAAGAGUACUUGUCACAGGGCCCUGGAGGAAAAGGACUUCAGCACUUUCAUACCUCUUAAAAGUAGGUACAGAGUUUCCACAGGCAGUUGCUUUGAAAAGAAGCAAACCUUCCAUCGUUCUAGGGCGAGGUAAGGUCCCCAAGCACUCUCGUAUCAAGGCGGGUCAGGGAGGCCAGCGACCCGCACUUGCUCAAGCUGUGACGGCCUUUACUUGUAGCCCAGCUAGUGCUCAGAGGAGACAAAUUUUUCCACAGCUUUGAAAGGAUGAGGGAAAUAGCUUCUUGACCCUUGCACGGGAACACCCACUCAUCCUUGUUGCACGAAGCAGAUAGACAGACCAAUACUGAUGCAACGUGGCGUGAGCGAAGUGAGUCUGGCUCUGCAAAGCCGAUGUGAAGAAGAGGGAAGUAGAACCUGGCAUUAGCUGUUAGGCUGGACCUCUGCCCCUCUACUUUGAGACCCAAUAUACUGCCCGACACAUGGCUGCGCCCUGCCCUGGGCUGUCUUUAGUUCAGCCUGUGGGUGCUAUUCGGACUUGAGUGGUUUGCAGUUCAGAUAGAUAGUUUCUUAAGCACGGUUUUCCUCACAGAUAACUUUGUGUGCAGUGGGUUUGAGGUCUCCUUUCCCCACAUUCCUGGGUUUCUGUAAUUAUUUAAAUACUGCUGAGGCAAGAAAAGGUGAAUGCUUGGAGAUGGUGUUUGUGGAAGAGUGCUAGGGAAUUAAGGACAUUCUGGCUUACAUCUUUUGGAAAGAGAAAACAUACUUAUCUUUCUCUUUGUGAAUCUUAGCUUUCCUCUUAUCACCCAAGCUAGUGGGCUGCUUUUUUAUGUGUUUUAAAUGAAUCUUUAGAGUGGAAGGCAUUUAACUUGGCACGAACACUCUGCUACUUUGGGGUAAAUAAGUAACAGAACAUUUUGCUGUCAGACUUUUUUUUUUUUUAAUUAUUCAGGUGGAGUUACUCAACAGUGUGCAUAAGAAAUCCAAACAAUGAGGGUUUCAGCCUGUGCUAUAUACGUGUAUGGUAUCCUCAUCGUCCUAAAAGGAGCAGGUUCUCCUUGUGGUCAUAGGGUGAGCCUUGUCUUGGGAGGCGGCUCAUUAGGAAACACCAUCAUAAAGUGUCUGAGCCAGAUUAGGAGUGGGAGGUUUCUGCCUGUACCCUUGUGCUUGUCUGGCUGGAAAAUAACUUGGUUCAACUCAUUGGACCAGCAAAGAAUUGUGCUCGGGAUCGCUGUGGGCUUUUUGGUCCCUCCAGUUCUGGUUCCCAAUGUGGAGGAUGUGGAGAAGCUGGCCUACCACAUCAGCAUCAUGUUCUUCAUGACUGCAGGCGUGGCAACAGCCCUGUUCAUCCUGGUUGUCAUAGUCUUCAAGGAGAAGCCCCUGCACCCUCCAAGCCGAGCUCAAGCCUUGAUCCAAUCAAGACCACCAGAGGAGUAUUCCUACGUGCAAUCAAUCCUCCGUCUGCUCCGCAAUGCCAACUUUUUGCUGCUCAUGGUCACUUACGGUCUGAAUACAGGUUGUUUCUACGCCCUGUCCACUCUGCUGAACCGCAUGGUGAUCCAUCACUACCCAGGGGAGGAGGUGAAUGCUGGCAGGAUUGGACUCACCAUUAUACUGUCGGGGAUGGUUGGGGCUUUGAUCUCCGGCAUCUGGUUGGACAGAACCAAAACCUACAAACAGACAACACUAGUUGUCUAUAUCAUGUCUCUGGCGGGAAUGAUAGCCUACACCUUCACUCUGAGCCUAGGCCACCUCUGGGUGGUCUUUGUGACUGCGGGCAUGCUGGGGUUUUUCAUGACAGGAUACCUUCCCCUGGGCUUUGAGUUUGCUGCAGAGUUGACAUACCCAGAAUCAGAAGGAACAUCAUCAGGGCUCCUUAACGUCUCGGCACAGAUUUUUGGUAUUGCCUUCACCAUCAGCCAAGGGCAAAUCAUGGAUCGUUACGGGACGAAGGCGGGGAAUAUCUUUCUUUGUUCCUUCCUGUUCCUGGGGACUGUUAUGACAGCAUUCAUUAAGGCUGAUCUCCGAAGACAGCAGGCCAAUUUGGAUAAUGAACAGACAGACAUUAGCAGAGAUGUCCACCCAACGUUCAUGAAGCCAUCAGCGACCAUGACUAGCAAAGUGCUUAAGCUCAGUUCUCUGCUCUCUCGAGUCACCUUUUUUCAGAAGACUGUGCUGCCUUCCUCCAGAUAAUCUAACCAGUCCGAUCUGGAGAGAGACCAGAAGGUCCAAGAAGCAGCUCUGCUCCGACUGGCUGCUCUGCUCAGGAAGAAAGUGAUGCCAGAAGCCUGCACCGAUCCCAUAAUCCUUGAGGAAUCAAAGCUGUGAAAUGGAGGGGUGGCAGAGCUGGGAGAUGCAGCCCCCCUUAUUCCCAUCCGUGCUACCUACCCAUUACAGGGGGGCAGCCUCAGGACAGGAGCUCAGUGAACUGCUGUGGAGAGCAUCAAAGAGCAAAACAAGAAGGGAGUUGCUCUUUUCAGUUAUACCUCUGCACCUUGCUGUUUUGGAGACUUUGCUGCUUGGGAAGAUGGGAAAACCCACUUCUUCCCCCCCAUCCCACCGUGUACGCUUGGAAAAGAAAAAGCACACAUGCUGAGAAAAGCCAUAGUUCAGGCUAGCCCUGAGCACGUGAGUGGCACCCUGCACGUGGCUGUGUCUCCUCUCCCAGGCAAGCUCUGACAUGAAAUGCAGAAGCUGGACUAUGCUUACUGUGUGAGCAGCCCCGGGAGAGCCUUCAGCUGGCUCUCAGGAGGAGGAAUUGCUCUCUGUUGGUGCCCAUGAUGCCUUCUGUGUUGCACAGGCGAUGGCAGAGGCCUCAGCACAUCACCAGCAAAUGCAAAGCAGUGCAUCUGCUGCUGCUGGCUCUGGUUUUAUUAUGUGACUGUCCCAGACAAAGCACUCUUAGUCUGUGGAUAAACCUCUGCUCAGGAUUCACUGAGGUUGCCCUGAUAUUCCUAUAUUUGAGAGAUACCAAUAUGCCUCCUUCUGCCUGGAGGCAAGGACUAGUUCCACAGCUUAUGUUUACAGCCUAAGCCUAGCUCAUCACUACACUGGCAACAGGAGUGAGUCAAACAACUAGCUCCCUGGGCUGAGGACUGUGUCUUCCUCCUUAAUGAUAAAGUGCCUUUUGCAUGUUUCAACACUACAUAAAAACUCUUGUGAAGUGUUCUAUUGAGAUAACCAGCCAAGGCUGUGUUGCUCUUUGCAGCCACAGAGAGGGGUUUGAAUAUGAUGGGGAUCCAGAUUUGCUCCAGUGUGGAAGCUUCCCACUUUAUAACAGAGAACAGGAGAAGCCCUCUUACCAGCAUUUGUGUCUCGUAGACACUGCCCCUCUGUAUGCUGCUGUUUAUCUUCUAAACAUAAAUGUAGAUCCUUCUAUCCCUUCUUCCUUUCCAGCAUCCUUCCACUGGUGGAGAUAUCAAGUGUCCUUAUACUAUUUAUCAUGCAGUUACACAUAUGUCACUUGUGUGUGGGGGGGAGGGACAAAGACCAAAACCAUGUGGAAUGAAUAAAAACAGUCCUCUCUGACAUACCAUUUUGGACAAAACAUUUUUUGGGUGAAAUUAUACAGUCUUGACAUAUUAAAAAAUUCAUGUCCUAUCUUGAGGAUGGGGAUCUAAAGUAGAAGUUUAUAUAAAAUAAAAACAUUCAAAGUGUACAAUAAAGCCUGACACAUUCAUAUUAAAUGGUUGAAACAGUCUAUACCUGGCUCUUUUAAUAGCCUGAAAUAUUUGUAGAAUGGAAAAAUCAUCGUUCUGCCCAGUGCUACUGUUGUCCUCUUUUCCUCCCUUCUGUGUUUUUUCUCUCUUCUGCACACGCACCAUCUUCCCAGCUAGGAGAUCCUGCUGGUUCCUUCCUACCUUCUAUGCACGGCCCAUCUGCUUUGGGGAUUAUUUCAUCUGCAUCUAAGCAACCUCAUCCUGUUUUCUCUAGUACCCGCUCACUGCAAAGGUAGCUCAGUCCUUGCUCUCAGAUGCACGCAGUUUGCUAUCACCAGUAUGCUGUGGAAGCGAGAGCUGCAACAACUCUUCAUGUGUGUGGGAGGUGAGCAGUCAGACCU